CGCAUCUGUGCAUGCAGCAUAUCAAUAAGCGGAGGAAAAGAAACUAACAAGGAUUCCCCUAGUAACGGCGAGUGAAGCGGGAAGAGCUCAAAUUUGAAAUCUUAAAGGGUCUCCCUUUACGAAUUGUAGUUUAAAGAAGUGUUUUCUGUUGAGGUUUUGGUAAAAGUUCUUUGGAAUAGGACAUCAUAGAGGGUGAGAAUCCCGUAUUUGACCUUUACUUUCAACUUUGUGAUACACUUUCAAUGAGUCGGAUUGUUUGGGAAUGCAGUCCAAAAUGGGUGGUAAAUUUCAUCUAAAGCUAAAUAUUGGCGAGAGACCGAUAGCGAACAAGUACCGUGAGGGAAAGAUGAAAAGAACUUUGAAAAGAGAGUUAAACAGUACGUGAAAUUGUCAAAAGGGAAGCGCUUUGACACCAGUGUUGUUUUUCUGAAAAUCAAUUAAAGAACUGUUUAUGCUAAGUUGUUUAGACUUUAUCAGCUAACUGUUUAGUUUUGAGCUUUUCUUUAAUGCACUUUUCAGUUAACAAGUCAACAUCAAUUUCUUUUGCUGUAAAAAAGCUCGAGGAAGGUGGCUUGAGAUUCGUCUUAAGUGUUUAUAGCCUCUUGCCUAUGCAGUCGGAGAGAUUGAGGUCUGCAGCGUAGAUCCUUCGGGGCUAAAUGCAUUUGUGCUAAGUUAUAGCAUUUUAUAGACAACUUGUUGACUAUGAUUUGUCUUGUAGCUUACUCGCUUAUGUUAUUUUACCUACGCUUAGGAUGUUGAGCGCAUGUCUCUCUCU
rnacentral:rRNA from 1 species